AGAAAGAGCAGUCAGGCAUUGGGACGGGUUGCCCAGGGAGGUGGUGGAGUCACCGUCCCUGGGGGUGUUGAAGGGAAGGCUGGACGUGGUGCUUAGGGACAUGGUUUAGUGGGUGAUGGUGGUGGUAUGGGGAUGGUUGGGCCAGGUGAUCCUGGAGGGCUUUUCCGACCCUAAUGAUCCUAUGAUUCUCCCUGCAUGAUUUUAAAAGGAAAA